rnacentral:lncRNA from 1 species
CAGGGACAAAUACAUACAGCUCCCGUGCUCUCGGGACCUGGAUUGUGAAGCAAGACAUGGCACGUCCGUGCGGGUUUCUCACUCCGUCCCCUCCCAGAGUCCCCGCCGGCCCCGAGGCUGCUGGGAACCAGCCUGCACACGUCUGCACGUUUUUGUGCGUGUGUGUAUUUUCAUAACAUGCAAAGCAUGGUCUGCAGAUCUUUCGGUGUUUGUGGAUGACGUAAAUUGUGCAGCUCCUUCUGCACCGAGUCAUCGCACAUCUUGGCUGAAGUUCGUCCACACCCGCGUGGAGAGCUCUGCAGAGUAUGCUGUCACACUUCUAACCCAUUUCAGGGUCCCCACCGUCACGUGUUAAUCCGCGCUCUUGCGGAGGGCAGCGGAGUUAUUCCCAGUUUCCCACCGUGCAAACCACACUGCGGUGGACACCGGUGUGUCUGAAGGCCUGGCCGCUUUCUGCGGCUCCACAUCCCGCCUCGGGCUGGCAAUUGCCAGGCUUUGGAACUUCUGCCACUCUGAGAGGCGCCCAAUGCGUGUCCUUCGCCUGUUUAAUGUGCGCGUCUCCGGGCAGUGACGCCGAAGCGUCUCAUCCCUGGACCGAGGCUCGGCUUUCCUUCGCGGCAAGGUCCCGGGACAUCUUCUCAGGAUCCGUGAGCAUUUCGGAGGCGUCUGUACGUCCCUCGGGUCCCAGAAACCUUGGAGAAACAAGAGGAUGCAGGAAAGGGCUGGGAGCCUGGAUGCAGGUCUUGCCUCUGCCUCCGAGUGGCUGGGUCACCUGGACUUUUCCGUCUCGUCUGCUUUCAUUUCCCCAUCAAUAAAACAGGGAUCAAAAUGCCUUCCUCGCAGCCUGUUUUGAAGGCACAAUGAGACAGUGACUGUGAAAAUUCAGCUUUCACAAGUGUGCUCAGCCUUCUCAUUUUGCAAAGGAGGGAGAGAGGCCUGAGGAGUGAAACCUUUCCAGCAUCAGCUCUCGGCAGAGCGGGGCCGGGAACCUGGGCUCCUGACCCCAUCUGGCGCUUCCCCCACGGCCCUGGCACCCAGGCCACAAGCGGUAACGGUGGGAUUCUAAUUCAGGAAAGUGUAGUAAUAACGGCUCAGGUGGGGCCUGCCACUAUUUGGGCAAACAUGCUACCUUUAUUUUUAUUUGUUAAAGAGAUUAAAUUAAGGAAGUUAAAUAAAUGAGCACAUUAACUCCCCCCCCA